AAUCACUGAUCCAACCUCUUGCCCGAUGCCCGGGCAUGGCCCGAAGGCCAUCGCCUCAGGAUCCCCCGACGU
rnacentral:sRNA from 1 species